AGAGAACUUUCCCUGGUGAUAGUGCUGAGCAGAAUAGAUGAACCUGCAGAAGACCAAACUGACCCGAGGGGCGAAACCGAUAAAGGGGCGGAAUAUGGAACCAGACCAGUUAUCAAUUUUGGUAUUCCUUUGGCUUUGGUUCAGUAAGGACCCAGAUCCAGAAAGGGGCUGCAGUACAAGGCUACGUCGUUCUGCAAGGUAAACGCUACAUUCAAAGUGAAGAGGUGAGAACAUAAGGCUUUUGAAGCAUACAUGCAAGUCAGGGGAACUAGAGAAGACUAUUACUCAAGUUUAGAGAUGUAGCUGAUAUGCUCUUUUUAUUUCUGUUAAGAACAUGG